GCCUUGUUAGCGCAGUAGGUAGCGCGCGCGUCGUCUCAUUAUCUGAAGGUCGUGAGUUCAAUUCUCACACAGGGCA